GACGAACGCUGGCGGCGUGCCUAAUACAUGCAAGUCGAACGAACCGCGACUAGGUGCUUGCACUUGGUCAAGGUGAGUGGCGAACGGGUGAGUAACACGUGGGUAACCUACCUCAUAGUGGGGGAUAACAGUCGGAAACGACUGCUAAUACCGCAUAGGACAUAGGAUCACAUGAUCCAGUGAGGAAAGGUGGCGCAAGCUAUCGCUAAGAGAUGGACCCGCGGUGCAUUAGCUAGUUGGUAGGGUAAAGGCCUACCAAGGCGAUGAUGCAUAGCCGACCUGAGGGGGUGAUCGGCCACAUUGGGACUGAGACACGGCCCAAACUCCUACGGGAGGCAGCAGUAGGGAAUCUUCCGCAAUGGACGCAAGUCUGACGGAGCAACGCCGCGUGAGUGAAGAAGGUCUUCGGAUCGUAAAGCUCUGUUGUUAGAGAAGAACAGCGCAUAGAGUAACUGUUAUGCGUGUGACGGUAUCUAACCAGAAAGCCACGGCUAACUACGUG
rnacentral:rRNA from 1 species